rnacentral:rRNA from 1 species
GACGAACGCUGGCGGCGUGCUUAACACAUGCAAGUCGAACGGAAAGGCCCUGCUUUUGUGGGGUGCUCGAGUGGCGAACGGGGGAAUAACACGUGAGUAACCUGCCCUUGACUGUGGGAUAACUUCAGGAAAAUGGGGCUAAUACCGGAUAGGAGCUCCUGCUGCAUGGUGGGGGUUGGAAUGUUUCGGCGGUUGGGGAUGGACUCGCGGCGUAUCAGCUUGUUGGUGGGGUAGUGGCUUACCAAGGCUUUGACGAGUAGCCGGACCGAGAGGGUGACCGGCAUCAUUCGGACUGAGAUACAGCCCAGACUCCUACGGGAGGCAGCAGUAGGAAAUAUUACACAAUGGGCGGGAGCCUGAUGCAGCAGCGGCGCGUGCGGGAGGACGGCCUUCGGGUUGUAAACCGCUUUCGCCUGCGACGAAGCGUGAAAUACGGUUAUGGGUAAAGAAGGACCGGCUAACUACGUG